rnacentral:misc_RNA from 1 species
GAUGAAGAACGCAGCGAGAUGCGAUAAGUAAUGUGAAUUGCAGAAUUCAGUGAAUCAUCGAAUCUUUGAACGCACAUUGCGCCCCUUGGUAUUCCGAGGGGCAUGCCUGUUCGAGCGUCAUUAUAACCCCUCAAGCUCAGCUUGGUGUUGGGGCCUGCUGCACUGGCAGCCCUUAAAAUCAGUGGCGGCGCCAUCUGGCUCUAAGCGUAGUAAUUCUUCUCGCUAUGGAGUCCUGGUGGAUGCUUGCCAUCAACCCCCAAUUUUUCUAUGGUUGACCUCGGAUCAGGUAGGGAUACCCGCUGAACUUAAGCAUAUCAAUAAGCGGAGGA